CCUUCGAUAGCUCAGUUGGUAGAGCGAUGGACUGUAGUUUUGGGGCACAAUUGCGAAAAAAAUAGACAUCCACAGGUCGCUGGUUCGACUCCGGCUCGAAGGA
rnacentral:tRNA from 1 species